UGCGUAGGCGGCCUGGUAAGUCAGAUGUGAAAGCCCGGGGCUUAACCCCGGAAGUGCAUUUGAUACUGUCAGGCUUGAGUAUGGGAGAGGGAAGUGGAAUUCCUGGUGUAGAGGUGAAAUUCGUAGAUAUCAGGAUGAACACCGGUGGCGAAGGCGACUUCCUGGACCAAUACUGACGCUGAGGUGCGAAGGCGUGGGUAGCAAACAGGAUUAGAUACCCUGGUAGUCC
rnacentral:rRNA from 1 species